rnacentral:rRNA from 1 species
UGGGGGAUAUUGCACAAUGGGGGGAACCCUGAUGCAGCGACGCCGCGUGAACGAAGAAAUAUUUCGGUAUGUAAAGUUCUAUCAGCAGGGAAGAAAAUGACAGUACCUGACCAAGAAGCCCCGGCUAACUACGUGCCAGCAGCCGCGGUAAUACGUAGGGGGCGAGCGUUAUCCGGAUUCACUGGGCGUAAAGGGAGCGCAGGCGGCACGGCAAGUCCGGUGUGAAAGCCCGGGGCCCAACCCCGGGACUGCACUGGAAACUGCCGGGCUGGAGUGUCGGAGGGGCAGGCGGAAUUCCUAGUGUAGCGGUGAAAUGCGUAGAUAUUAGGAGGAACACCGGUGGCGAAGGCGGCCUGCUGGACGACGACUGACGCUGAGGCUCGAAAGCGUGGGGAGCAAACAGG